rnacentral:rRNA from 1 species
ACGAACGCUGGCGGCGUGCCUAAUACAUGCAAGUUGAGCGCUGAAGGUUGGUACUUGUACCAACUGGAUGAGCAGCGAACGGGUGAGUAACGCGUGGGGAAUCUGCCUUUGAGCGGGGGACAACAUUUGGAAACGAAUGCUAAUACCGCAUAAAAACUUUAAACACAAGUUUUAAGUUUGAAAGAUGCAAUUGCAUCACUCAAAGAUGAUCCCGCGUUGUAUUAGCUAGUUGGUGAGGUAAAGGCUCCCCAAGGCGAUGAUACAUAGCCGACCUGAGAGGGUGGUCGGCCACAUUGGGACUGAGACCCGGCCCAAACUCCUACGGGAGGCAGCAGUAGGGAAUCUUCGGCAAUGGACGAAAGUCUGACCGAGCAACGCCGCGUGAGUGAAGAAGGUUUUCGGAUCGUAAAACUCUGUUGGUAGAGAAGAACGUUGGUGAGAGUGGAAAGCUCAUCAAGUGACGGUAACUACCCAGAAAGGGACGGCUAACUACGUG